CUUUCUUUGCUGGCGACCGGCGCACGGGUGAGUAACACGUGUCCAACCUGCCCUUUACUCGGGGAUAGCCUUUCGAAAGAAAGAUUAAUACCCGAUAGCAUAGUGAUUCCGCAUGGUUUCAUUAUUAAAGGAUUCCGGUAAAGGAUGGGGAUGCGUUCCAUUAGGUUGUUGGUGAGGUAACGGCCCACCAAGCCUUCGAUGGAUAGGGGUUCUGAGAGGAAGGUCCCCCGCAUUGGAACUGAGACACGGUCCAA
rnacentral:rRNA from 1 species